ensembl:snoRNA
AUUUAUGGAUGUGUGAGCAGUGUUAUUUCUUACAUGUUAUACAAAUAAUUGAAGGUUAAUUAGCAGUAUAACUAAAUAGUAAUAUGCCAGUCUCCUUCAGACAAAU